rnacentral:rRNA from 1 species
AUGAACGCUAGCUACAGGCUUAACACAUGCAAGUCGAGGGGCAGCAUGGUCUUAGCUUGCUAAGACUGAUGGCGACCGGCGCACGGGUGAGUAACACGUAUCCAACCUGCCGUCUACUCUUGGACAGCCUUCUGAAAGGAAGAUUAAUACAAGAUGGCAUCAUGAGUCCGCAUGUUCACAUGAUUAAAGGUAUUCCGGUAGACGAUGGGGAUGCGUUCCAUUAGAUAGUAGGCGGGGUAACGGCCCACCUAGUCUUCGAUGGAUAGGGGUUCUGAGAGGAAGGUCCCCCACAUUGGAACUGAGACACGGUCCAAACUCCUACGGGAGGCAGCAGUGAGGAAUAUUGGUCAAUGGGCGAGAGCCUGAACCAGCCAAGUAGCGUGAAGGAUGACUGCCCUAUGGGUUGUAAACUUCUUUUAUAAAGGAAUAAAGUCGGGUAUGGAUACCCGUUUGCAUGUACUUUAUGAAUAAGGAUCGGCUAACUCCGUGCCAGCAGCCGCGGUAAUACGGAGGAUCCGAGCGUUAUCCGGAUUUAUUGGGUUUAAAGGGAGCGUAGAUGGAUAUUUAAGUCAGUUGUGAAAGUUUGCGGCUCAACCGUAAAAUUGCAGUUGAUACUGGAUAUCUUGAGUGCAGUUGAGGCAGGCGGAAUUCGUGGUGUAGCGGUGAAAUGCUUAGAUAUCACGAAGAACUCCGAUUGCGAAGGCAGCCUGCUAAGCUGCAACUGACAUUGAGGCUCGAAAGUGUGGGUAUCAAACAGGAUUAGAUACCCUGGUAGUCCACACGGUAAACGAUGAAUACUCGCUGUUUGCGAUAUACUGCAAGCGGCCAAGCGAAAGCGUUAAGUAUUCCACCUGGGGAGUACGCCGGCAACGGUGAAACUCAAAGGAAUUGACGGGGGCCCGCACAAGCGGAGGAGCAUGUGGUUUAAUUCGAUGAUACGCGAGGAACCUUACCCGGGCUUAAAUUGCAGAUGAAUUACGGUGAAAGCCGUAAGCCGCAAGGCAUCUGUGAAGGUGCUGCAUGGUUGUCGUCAGCUCGUGCCGUGAGGUGUCGGCUUAAGUGCCAUAACGAGCGCAACCCUUGUUGUCAGUUACUAACAGGUUCCGCUGAGGACUCUGACAAGACUGCCAUCGUAAGAUGUGAGGAAGGUGGGGAUGACGUCAAAUCAGCACGGCCCUUACGUCCGGGGCUACACACGUGUUACAAUGGGGGGUACAGAGGGCCGCUACCACGCGAGUGGAUGCCAAUCCCCAAAACCUCUCUCAGUUCGGACUGGAGUCUGCAACCCGACUCCACGAAGCUGGAUUCGCUAGUAAUCGCGCAUCAGCCACGGCGCGGUGAAUACGUUCCCGGGCCUUGUACACACCGCCCGUCAAGCCAUGGGAGCCGGGGGUACCUGAAGUGCGUAACCGCGAGGAGCGCCCUAGGGUAAAACUGGUGACUGGGGCU